AUUUCUACAUUUUAUUCAUACAUUUAUAAUAUACGAGUCAUACAUGUAUUAGAGUCUACACGGGGUACACACACACACACACACACACACACACACACACACACACACACACACACACACACACUCCGAUAAUUACUAACAUCAAGAGACACAGAGUUGCCAACAUCACCGAAGUUUAGAGAUACAACCGCAGUGCUGCCAAUUAAAGGGGAGAAGUUGGCACGCCUGUCUCUCCUGUACAAGGUGGAUUGGCAGGACACACACACGCACAUACAUACAUACUUACACACAAAUACAUACAUACAUACAUACAUAUAUUCAUUCAUUCAUUUAUUCAUACCUACAUUCGUUUAUACAUGAGUCCAUACAUACAUACAUACAUACAUACAUACAUACACACAUACAAAUUUCUAAAGACAUUCGUGUACACACCAAAUUGGGGGGGGGGGGGUGUAAGGGGGUAGGGAAAAAAGGUUUACAUAUAUGUACGUAAAAAAAUCACCAUCCAUGUAUGUAUAUUUUUUUUGUCAUGAACGUACACAUAAAGCAAAUCGGUGCACAUGAAGAUCAACUUACAUGUGCACUUGUUGAGGCUAGCACGACGUACAUGUGUAAGUUCCACCGUGUGUACUUACUGUGACACGCACAUACACACACAUACACAGGAUCGGGUUGUACAUGUGGAGUGAGUGGAUACACACAUAUGUGAGUGUGUACGUUUUUUUGGUGCAUACGGGACCAGGUGGAGAGGUAUACACGUUCCCCAUACAUUAGGAAGGGAGGGAGGAGGAGGAGGAGGAGGAGGAGGAGGAGGAGGAGGAAGGGAAGGGUGGAAUAGAGAGAGGGAGAUAAGGAAGGAAGGAAAAGAUGGAAGGAAGAGGAGAAGGAGGAGGAAAGGAAGGGAGGAAUAGAGAGAGGGAGGUAAAAAGGAAGGAAAAGAUGGAAGGAAGAAUAUAUGAACAGAGGGAAGGAAAGGAUGGGAAAGAGGAACAGAGGGUAGAAUUAAAGGAAGGAAAAAUAGGGAAAGGAAUAGAGGAAAGAAGGAAAGCAAUAAAAGGAAAAAAAUAGAGGAAGAGAGGGAAGGAAAAAUGGGAAGGAGGAAUAGAUGGAGGGAGGAUAAAAAUGGGAGGAAGAGAAGUAGGAAGGAUGAGAGGAAGGGUAGGAAGGAAGGAGGGAAAGAAGGUGGAGGGAUGGAGGGAAUGGGAGAUAUAGAGAAAAAAAAACGCAGGAAAUCAGAAAGACAUGAACUGAGAGAGGAAGGAGAGAAGAUUAAAGAGGAAGGAGGAAAGGAGAAUCGGACAAGAAAAUGAUGAAGAGAGAGAGAGAGAAGGAAGGAGGACAGAGAGGGGGAGGAGGGGAGGAAUGAGGCACGGAGGAAAGAAAAAAAUACUGGAGCGGAGGAGGAAGUGAGGAAUUAGGGGACCCUGAAAGCAAGGAGGAAGGAAAAGUGGGGCAGAAGGAAGGUAGGAAGGAAGGAGGGACGAGGGAGUAAGGAAGGAAGGAAGGAAGAGAAGUGUGACAGAAGAAGGGGAGGAAGAAGAGCUGAACCAUGGAGGAAAGGAAAUAUGAAGAAGGAGGAGGAGGAGGAGGAGGAGACAGGCUUCUUAUAUAUGGCAAAACAUCGACUUUUUAUGAGUAACUGAAUAUUGGAUGAGUGAGUGAGUUAUUGAAGGAGAGCGAAGGAGAACCAGGUAAGAAAGCAAUUUUGAGCCUGUGAAUGUGAUUGCUCAGGUAAGAUAUCCAAAAAUGAGGUCAUUAGCGUAAUAUAUGACAAGGAGAUGAGAUGAAGAGGCCAGGAGGUGAGGAGGUGUAUGUAUUAAUGAAGAGAUGAGAGGAAAGGGUUAAGCUGAUGAGAAGAUGAGGUGAGAAAAUGAAUGGAUGAGUAACUGAAGUGAAAUUAUGUUCUUCCUGACGUGUUAUUCAUUACGUGACGGUUGGCUCAUUCAGUGUAUGACUCGUGUGACAUCCAUAUUGCUUUCUUUGUCCUCUCCUCCUCCUUCUCCUCCUUUUCCUUCUAUUCGUCCUACUCCUUCUCUGCCUCCUCCUCUUCUUUCUCCUUAUCCAUUGCUUUCUCCUUCUUCCUCUUUCUCCUCUUCCUCUUUCAACUCACUCCCUCUUUCUCCUUUCUCAUAAACUCCUUUUUCUCCACCAAUAUUUUCCUUCUAUUAACUCUUGCACACUCCUCCUCUUCCUCUUAUCCUCUUCCUCCUCCUCUUCCUCUCUCAACUCACUUUCUCUUUCUCCUUUCUCAUAAACUCCUUUUUCUCCACCAAUAUUUUCCUUCUAUUAAAUUUUGCACACUCACCCUCUUCCUCUUAUCCUCUUCCUCCUCCUCUUCCUCUUUCAACUCACUUUCUCUUUCUCCUUUCUCAUAAACUCCUUUUUCUCCACCAAUAUUUUCCUUCUACUAAAUCUUCCACACACCUCUCUUCCUCUUAUCCUCUUCCUCCUCUUCCUCUUCCUCCCUAAUAAGCCAAACAAAACACCUAAUUUUAGGCUAAUAAACUCUGCUUCAGGUGAGCAUGAACUAAUUAGCCCUUGAGACAGGUGAUCCUCUCAAGAUUAUGCCUCGUCUUAUCCUUUUUUAUCAUCAUUUUUGGUUUUGUUUUGGUUUCUUAUCUUUUUCCUUUUUUUGUGAGAUGAAAAGUAUAGGAAGGGAUGUGAAAGGGGUGGGCAGAGAAGGUGAGGAGGGUCGAAAAGGUAUGGGAAGGGGGGAAAGGGUGUGAAUGGGGGAGGUGAGGUAAGGUGUGGGGGGGUUGAAAAGUAUGGGAAGGGGUGUAUUUGGGUGAAGAGGAUGUGAAGGGGGGGAUUAGGUUAGGUUGGGGGUCUGAAAACUAUGGAAAGGGCUGUAUAGGUAUGUAAAGGGAGGGUGUGAAGGGGGAAGGUGAUAAAUUGAGGGGUUGAAAGAUAUGGGAAGGGCUGUAGAGGCAUUUAAAGGGAGGAUGUGAAGGGGGAGGUGAGUAGCUAAGUUCCGGGGUCUGAAAUGUACGGGAAAUGGUGAAAAGGGGGUGUGAAGGGGGAGGUGAGGUUAGAUCCGGGGUCUGAAAAGUAUGGGGGAAGGGCUGCAUAAGGGAGAUGUGAAGGAAGGUGUGGGGUGGGGGUAUAGGGUGUGUACCACGGAUGGGUGUACCAGGGGUGGGGGUGGGGGGUGCCUACACUUAAUCUACACCUAUUUACAGAUACAAAAAUAGCGUUCAAAAAAAGCGAUUAUUUUAUGUUAGUUUUAUUCUACACUUAUUCACCCGGCGCGCUGCUCCUCGAGGUAUAUGUAUAGAUAAUGUAUAGUGUAUGUAUCUUUUAUGUGGAGUUUAUGUAUCUUCUGUUUUUUUUUUCUUUAGGACCGCAGUGAGUUGUUUAUGGUUGUUUGUUUGUCUGUUUGUUCUUGCUAUCAUUGUAGGCCUAUUUUCUUUUUUUUUAUGUAGGCCUUGAAAGCGUCUUCUUCUAUUUCUUCUUCUUCUUCUUCUUCUUCUUCUUCUUCUUCUUCUUUAGUUUCGUAAGCAACAUACAAAAAUAUUAUAUACGCUAUGCAUGUGUGGUUAUUUUUUUAUAUAUAUUUAUUUGUUUAUCUAUAUUUAUUUAUUUAUUUAUGUAUUAAUUUAUCUUAUUCCUGUGCUUGAGUCAUGCAUUACUGCUGUAUAACGACCAUGAUGACACACACACACACACACACACACACACACACAGACAAACACACACACAAACACAGGGAUACAGUAGGUCUAUAUAUCUUUAUACAUAAGUAACAUCAUCAUCAUCAUCAUCACCAUCACUGAAUGCAGAAAUACAGUAUAUAUAUAUUUAAAGAGGAAAAAAGUGCUCCCUUAAUUAACAAACUUCCUUAAAUUUACCCAAUUACCCUUUUUAUUUUUACCUAUAGGCCUACCCUUUUUUUUAUCUACAUAUCUACCCUUAAUAUUCACCUACCUACCCUUUUUGUUUACCUACCCACCCAUGUUUUUACCUAUCUACUUUUGUUUACCCUUUUUUAAAACCCACCUACCCUUUUCUUUUUGCCUGUUUGCCUAUCACUGUUUACCCAUUCUUUACCCACCUACCCACUUUUUUUUACCCACCUACCUUUGUGUACCUACCUAUGUAGCCUUGUUUCCCCAUCUCCCUAUUUUUGUUUAUCUUUCUUACCCACCUGCCCACGUUUUUACCCAUUUACCCUUAUGUUUCUUACCCAUAUACCCACCUUCACCCACCUACCCACUUUUUUUUAUACCCAUUUACCCCCUUUUUAAACCACUUUCACUUGAUUUACCCACCUAUGUUCCCCUUGUUUACCCACCUACCCACUUGUUUACCUGUCUCCCUUGUUUACCUAUCUACCUGCCCCUGUUUACGUAUCUACCUGCCCAUGUUUACGUAUCUACCUGUCCAUGUUUACGUAUCUACCUGGCUCACCUGUCAUCGCCCCAUCACACCGACCAUCGUCUCCUGUGAUUGGCCUGUGGGAGGGAGAGAUUACCUGCGUAUUGCACUCGUCAAUUAGCGCUACGUAAGCCGGACACACACCUGUUCAAUCACGGCCCUCAGGUGGAUCCGCCGGAGAUUACCUGGACCGCCUCAUUAGCUCACCCAGGUAUAUACACCGGCUAGAGAUUACCUGUAUAUUGCACUUAAUUAAACCACUACUCGUACCUGUGGCUCACCUUUCGCCCAGGUAACCAAUUAACCCAACACGUAAUAUAUCUCCAAGCAGACACACAGACAGACAGACACACCGAUAAUAAGAAUGAUAGAAAUCCCUGCUUGUUCAUCUCUUUAAAAUCCACGGACUUAAAACCUAAAAACUCAUUCACACGCGAUAUUACAAAGGAGAAAAUAUAAUAGACACGCCCCAAAUAGGUACAUCAAUAUAUAUGACUAUAGUACGAUACACACACACGCACACACGCACACACACCGCCGCCUUACGCCUUAGUUAAGUGAAAGAUCGCCUUACCCUAGUAUUAAAUGCCCUGAAAUGCCAUACUGCCACAGCGACGCGAUCAGCUAACAUUAGUAGUCUACAGAGUAAUGGGAAGAAGUGGUUUGAGCGAGUCACCCCUCUAAAAAAUGCCUGUUUGCUGCCGCGUUCCCCGUUUUCUUUAGUAAUAUAUUCCGGAGAGAGAGAGAGAGAGAGAGAGAGAGAGAGAGAGAGAGAGAGAGAGAGAGAGACCAUUACACGAGAGGAAGGACUGUCAGAGGAAACUAAAGCGGUCUGUCACUAUUGAGCGGAAAGCUGAUAUCAAAGGAAAGAGAGAGAGAGAGAGAGAGAGAGAGAGAGAGAGAGAGAGAGAGAGAGAGAGAGAGAGA